rnacentral:rRNA from 1 species
UACGAAGGUGGCAAGCGUUGUCCGGAAUUACUGGGUGUAAAGGGCGUGUAGGCGGGAUAGCAAGUCAGAUGUGAAAUGCCGGGGCUCAACCCCGGCGCUGCAUCUGAAACUGUUAUUCUUGAGUGUCGGAGAGGAAAGUGGAAUUCCCAGUGUAGCGGUGAAAUGCGUAGAGAUUGGGAGGAACACCAGUGGCGAAGGCGGCUUUCUGGACGAUAACUGACGCUGAGGCGCGAAAGCGUGGGGAGCAAACAGG